rnacentral:lncRNA from 1 species
AGAAGGGAGGUGGUCGCCCUCCGUCGUGGUCUGGCGUGUAUUCCGAGCCUUGGUGUCUGGCGGUUUCCAAGCGUUGGUGUCUGGCGGUUUCCGACCGUUGGUGUCUGGCGGUUUCCGACCGUUGGUGUCUGGCACGCGCCACCCUCUCUUGCUUUGGUUGCGCCAUGCCGAUGUACCAGACAAGAAGACAAGAAAAUGAUUUGAGGACAGCUUCAAUCGCGGUGUGAAGAAGAAAGCAGCAAAACGACCACUGAAAACAACGCCGGUGGCAAAAUAUCCAAAGAAAGGGUCCCAAGCGGUACAUCGUCAUAGCCGGAAACAGUCAGAGCCACCAGCCAAUGAUCUUUUCAAUGCUGCGAAAGCUGCCAAAAGUGACAUGCAGGGAUGUCCUUCCUGAGAUCCGUGCUAUCUGCAUUGAGGAAAUUGGGUGUUGGAUGCAAAGCUACAGCACGUCUUUCCUCACCGACAGCUAUUUAAAAUAUAUUGGUUGGACUCUGCAUGAUAAGCACCGAGAAGUCCGCGUGAAGUGCGUGAAGGCUCUGAAAGGGCUGUACGGUAACCGGGACCUGACCGCACGCCUGGAGCUCUUCACUGGCCGCUUCAAGGACUGGAUGGUUUCCAUGAUCAUGGACAGAGAGUACAGUGUGGCAGUGGAGGCCGUCAGAUUACUGAUACUUAUCCUUAAGAACAUGGAAGGGGUGCUGAUGGACGUGGACUGUGAGAGCGUCUACCCCAUUGUGUAGGCCUCUAAUUGAGGCCUGGCCUCUGCUGUGGGUGAAUUUCUGUACUGGAAACUUUUCUACCCUGAGUGCGAGAUAAGAACGAUGGGUGGAAGAGAGCAACGCCAGAGCCCAGGUGCCCAGAGGACUUUCUUCCAGCUUCUGCUGUCCUUCUUUGUGGAGAGCAAGGUGACAUACACAGAGAUAACUCUGGCUGUUGUGCAUAGGACCUACAAGUGGGCUGGGGUUGGUGGUUCACGCCUGUAAGCCCAACACUUUGGGAGGCUGAGGUGGGAGGAUCCUUUGAGCCCAGGAGUUUGAGACCAGCUUGGGCAACAUAGUGAGACCCUGUCUCUACCAAAAAAAAAAAAAAAAAAAAAA